GGAGAGAUGGCCGAGUGGUUUAAGGCGCAGUCCUGGAAAGACUGUUCAUUCGAAAGGGUGACCGGGGUUCGAAUCCCCGUCUCUCCGCCA
rnacentral:tRNA from 1 species